GUGCUCGCUUCGGCAGCACAUAAACUAAAAUUGGAACGACACAGAGAUUAGCAUGGCCCCUGCGCAAGGAUGACACACAAAUUCCUGAAGCGUUCCAUAUUAAA
ensembl:snRNA LOC120098437 U6 spliceosomal RNA